UCUUGGGUAGUAUAGUGGUCAGUAUACAAGCUUGUCACGCUUGGGACCCGGGUUCAAUUCCCGGCUCGAGAG
rnacentral:tRNA from 2 species